AGCGAACGCUGGCGGCAGGCCUAACACAUGCAAGUCGAGCGGCCGUAGCAAUACGGCAGCGGCAGACGGGAGAGUAACACGUGGGAACGCGCCCUUCGGUUCGGGAUAACUCAGGGAAACUUGGGCUAAUACCGGAUACGCCCUUACGGGGAAAGAUUUACUGCCGAAGGAACGGCCCGCGUCCGAUUAGCUUGUUGGUGAGGUAACGGCUCACCAAGGCGACGAUCGGUAGCUGGUCUGAGAGGAUGACCAGCCUCACUGGGACUGAGACACGGCCCAGACUCCUACGGGAGGCAGCAGUGGGGAAUAUUGGACAAUGGGCGCAAGCCUGAUCCAGCCAUGCCGCGUGGGUGAUGAAGGCCCUAGGGUUGUAAAGCCCUUUCAGCGGGGAAGAUAAUGACGGUACCCGCAGAAGAAGCCCCGGCUAACUUCGUGCCAGCCGCCGCAGUAACAC
rnacentral:rRNA from 1 species